AAUCCAGAGAGCAGAAGCCUGUAGCUGACAAGCUUCAGAGAAAUGCUGGGAACAAAGAGAUAGAGGAUCUUGAAGCCGGGCUACUUGAGCCAACAUUAUACCCUAGUACGGAAGCGGAACCUUCGUCUCAAAGCAGAACC